CAUGCAAGUCGAACGGAAACCCCUUAAAAGGUUUUAGUGGCGAACGGGUGAGUAACACGUAAGUAACCUGCCUUUAAGACGAGGAUAACAAUUGGAAACGGUUGCUAAGACUGGAUAGGAAACAAAAAGGCAUCUUUUUGUUUUUAAAAGACCUUCUUAUGAAGGUAUGCUUAAAGAGGGGCUUGCGCCACAUUAGUUAGUUGGUAGGGUAAAAGCCUACCAAGACGAUGAUGUGUAGCUGGACUGAGAGGUUGAACAGCCACAUUGGGACUGAGACACGGCCCAAACUCCUACGGGGGGCAGCAGUAGGGAAUUUUCGGCAAUGGAGGAAACUCUGACCGAGCAACGCCGCGUGAACGAUGAAGUAUUUCGGUAUGUAAAGUUCUUUUAUUGAAGAAGAAAAAGUAGUGGAAAAACUAUAUUGACGUUAUUCAAUGAAUAAGCCCCGGCUAACUAUGUGCCAGCAGCCGCGGUAAGACAUAGGGGGCGAGCGUUAUCCGGAAUUAUUGGGCGUAAAGGGUGCGUAGGCUGUUAGAUAAGUCUAUAAUUUAAUUUCAGUGCUUAACGCUGUCUUGUUAUAGAAACUGUCUUGACUAGAGUGAGAUAGAGGCAAGCGGAAUUCCAUGUGUAGCGGUAAAAUGUGUAAAUAUAUGGAGGAACACCAGAAGCGUAGGCGGCUUGCUGGGUCUUUACUGACGCUGAGGCACGAAAGCGUGGGUAGCAAACAGGAUUAGAUACCCUGGUAGUCCACGCCGUAAACGAUGAGUACUAAGUGUCGGGGUAAAACUCGGUACUGAAGUUAACACAUUAAGUACUCCGCCUGAGUAGUACGUACGCAAGUAUGAAACUUAAAGGAAUUGACGGGACUCCGCACAAGCGGUGGAUCAUGUUGUUUAAUUCGAAGAUACACGAAAAAUCUUACCAGGUCUUGACAUACUCUGCAAAGCUAUAGAAAUAUAGUGGAGGUUAUCAGGGAUACAGGUGGUGCAUGGUUGUCGUCAGUUCGUGUCGUGAGAUGUUAGGUUAAGUCCUAAAACGAGCGCAACCCUUGUCGUUAAUUGCCAGCACGUAAUGGUGGGGACUUUAGCGAGACUGCCAAUUAAACAUUGGAGGAAGGUGAGGAUUACGUCAAAUCAUCAUGCCCCUUAUGAUCUGGGCUACAAACGUGAUACAAUGGCUGUGACAAAGAGUAGCUGAAACGCGAGUUUUUAGCCAAUCUCAAAAAAGCAGUCUCAGUUCGGAUUGAAGUCUGUAACUCGACUUCAUGAAGUUGGAAUCGCUAGUAAUCGCGAAUCAGCAUGUCGCGGUGAAUACGUUCUCGGGGUUUGUACACACCGCCCGUCAAACCACGAAAGUUAGCAAUACCCGAAAACAGUAGCUUAACUUCGUAAGAAGAGGGAACUGUCUAAGGUAGGGUCGAUGAUUGGGGUUAAG
rnacentral:rRNA from 1 species